CACUGGGUGUACUCAGUGGGGUCCAUUGUGGCCACAUACCCCUUUCUCUUCAUCAUCCAAUCUGCCUCAAAAGAUGCAGAAACGGCUUCGCAGGAGAAUUUCAAUCUAACAUCAACAGGAGAUUUGGAAGAUGAAUUGUGCAAGGAUCUCCUUCCUCUGAAGGAGUAUAGUUCAAAGGAUUGGGGGAAGAAAAUGAUGUUUCAUUGCUUCCCCCUGGGGCUGAGCGAGGCAAGGGGAGCUCUGCUCUUGGCUCCCUUGGGUGCUGAGGUUGAAGCUAGGGAAACGGUGUGCUCCAUGGACUAGGUAAGUUAUUUCCUACAGCUUUUCUGCCUCCCUCCCUCCAUGAUCCUGAAUGGAAGGCUGCUGGAAGAAACUGGUUGAUAUUUGCUGUGUUACAACAGCAUUUGCUAAUUGUUAAAUUAAAAGGGGGCUAUAAAGCGUGCUGAUGGUGGGCUUGGAGGGAAGGAAGGGGCAGUAGCUCUGGUGGCCAGGCAAGGAUGGCAGGGACAGUGUUGCUGUCCAGGCCCCUCUUCUUGCACCCUCACCUUCCUGGCUGGAUGCAGAUGUCAUUGCUCCCACCACCAACAUCCCCACCAACCUGGAGAAAUCCCAGCUGGGUGUCCACAGCUCUCUGAGUCACUGCCAAGGAUUCAGCCACUUGCUCCUGUUGCUGCUGCACCAGGUAUGUGCCACAACUCCUCCUCUUCUG
rnacentral:lncRNA from 1 species